GGAUGUGGCUCAGUGGUAGAGCGCUUGCCUCACAUGCAUGAGGUCCUGGGUUCGAUUCCUCAGCACCA
rnacentral:tRNA from 1 species